AUGCAUAUAUGCAGAGCCUGUGGGGUCCUAGGCAGGAAUUUACUAAAGCUGUGGCAUUUUGUGAGUAUAAAAUCCUUUGCCAGUAGUUGCCUUUUCUUUUCCUGUGAAAGAAAAUGUCUUCCCACAAAGACUCCUGACAGCCACAGUGGACAACCAGGCCCUCUUGACUCUUAUGCCUCUGAGAGCAUGUAUUUGCUUCAGAGUCUACGACCCUGGGUUCAUCCAUUCACUCAAUAUUCAUUCAUUCAACAACAGCAGGUUCCUGAAAGAUCCGAGGUACCCUGCCAAGUUAGAGGUGUGGAGCGACGAAGAAGACAGCAAACUACUGAGCUCCAUCACUUCCCUCCUUUUGUUCAGGCAUCGAUGGAGAAGUGUGGCUGUGCUCUAUCAGGAUUGGCAGUGCACAAUACCAAAUGGUUUGUCCACUAUUGACCCCAGUAGUGGAAGGGAGCAUAGCCUUUCUGUGUUAACUGAGAUAGGACAAUAUGGAGAUCACCAGAGGUGUUCACAGAGGUGAACUGUGUGUACAUACCCUCUAAAAAUGACCCUUGACUUGUUCCAGAUCUACAGGUCAUCACGUCUGCUGUAUAAUUUAUGGACAAUAAAGUCAACUUUCUCCUCUUUCUGCAACACCCCAAAACCUGGUAACACCUUGGGAAGACUCUCUUGGCUUCCAACCAGUUGUAAAUAAAGGAUUGCAAAUAGCAUUUUUUUGACAGUUCUGCAAACAGCAUCAGGGUCAAAUGAGGGACUGAAAAUCCUGCUUUCUGAUUCGUAGAACAGUGCAAAGGUGCUGCAAAAUCAUUUUGGGUCCUGUGUUCUCGCGUGUGUCCUCUGGGAUUUGGUGACCUUUGACAUCCUGCCCAAUUAGUUGGCCAGCUUGCUGGAAUCCUAAUCUUCCCCCUCAGCAGUGCUGUGGCAACCUGGACUUAGAUUAGUAGACAAAUGAGAUAUCCCAAAUCUUUCUUCUGCCCACAUACCUGCUGGAGACACCCCUCGAACUCAUAGGAAAAGUGUGGGGGUGUGACUAAACUUCUGCACACUCCACAUGAGCUUCCUGUGAUCUUCAAGAACCCCACUCACUCCACUCGCGAUCUAUUUUAACAUUCACCCACACCAAGCUCCCCUCUCAGACAACAGGAACAGAUUUGACCUUUUCACGAUACUUUUCCAAUUGUACCACACCCUCUUGUUAAGUUCUCCCGUGGGGGGGGGGCAGCUUUACCAGAAAAAGUCUUUGUGUGCUGAACAGUCAAUACCCAAUGAAAUGACAGUUCUGUCUGCGCUACAAACUGUGAGAAAUGUCAUAGGGAGGGGGAAUCCAAGCUGUGACUUGCUGUUCAAUUCCCCUUAGUAGAGGCAAAGUGCAGAUUCUUGAACGCUGAACUAGGGGAAACGCCACAGGCCCCAGUGGCAGGCUCAAAGAAGCUGAGAUUCUAUCUUGGGUUGCUGGAGGAAGAACCUUCCUCUGGAUUUUCAGGUCUGCCCUUCCCCCACUGUCUUGCCCAUCCUGCUACACCCAGACCACAGAGGGCUCACAAAGGGGCAGUGUGUGAUGUGCACAGUGGCUCUGGGCCUGGGUGAGGAGCUUCCGGUAAAGGUCAAAGAGGUCUGCUCUUUGUGGGCCAUUUCUGACAGGGAGCAGUGCGUGGCCAGGGCUAUGCGAGGCAUAACAAACUUUGUGAACAACUAGAGGAAAUGAGAAAAGUAAAUGUGAAAGGCAGCAACGUAUUGCUCAUGCCUUUAUUCUUAAUCCUUUCCUAGAGAUUUCUGGACAACAGGAGGAACUUCCAUUUUAGUUGGUUUAAACAGAAGUAGAAUUUUGCAACAUAAAACGAGCCCAUUUUUUGAGGUGCUAUGCGUGGAACCCAAUCCUUAGCCACCCUAGGCAAUCCCUCUACUCCAGAUCUACAUCCCCAGACCAAUUGUAACCAUUUUAAAGUGAACAGUUCACAGUAUUAUGCAGCGGCCAUCAUCUCUAGUUCCAAAAUACUUGCCCCAUUCCAAGGAAAACCCUAUAUAUGCCCCAGUAACUCCAAACCUUAUUCUCAACCCCACCCUUCUCUCUCCCUCUCCAAAUGUGCUAUCCGUCUCUAUGGAUUUGCCUAUUCAGGAUAUGUCUCGGAAUGGAAGUGUAAAACACGUGACCCAUGUCUGGUUCCAAUUCUCACUUUAGACCUCUGGGCUUUCACCCACCUUGUAGAACAAGGCAGUACUUCACUCCUUUCUAGUGCUGGUUAAUACCCAUCAUGUACAGGUGACUUAUCAAUUAUUCUAUUCAUUUUGCUUUUACUAACGGAUUUUCAUUAGUACAUGUUUGCAGUACACAAUGAUUCCAUUUAUCACGGUGAAUGUGUACACGUACGUAACACAUCUUAAUUCCUUUUUCCUCUUUCCCUUCCCAUCCCUCCAUGCUCCUUCCAACUCUUAAUCCCUUUCCCAUCUGAAAAAGUUCUAUUUCCAUUUUCUUCUCUCUUUUCUAAAAAUCAUUCCCCGCUUCCUUCCCCUUCCCUCUCACUCUUCCCAUUAAAAAAAGAUCUCCCUACUUCCUAUUACCUAUCCUUCAUUUUGCUUAUUUAAAUUUUCAAUGUCUCAUCUAAGAGAAACUAUGAGAUGGGGUUGAAUUCUUUUAACGUCAUGAUCUCAAGGUACAGCCAUUUACCUACAAAAGCCUCGCUUAUCCUUUAGGGCAACACAGUACUCGUCAAUACAUCUAUUAAUGAACAUCUGCUUCCAGUUUUCAAUGAAUGUGAAAACCCCUAUUAUGAAUAUUUGUAUGCAAAGAUCUGAGCAUCUGCUUUCAAUUCGCUUGGGUACAUAUCUAGCAAUGGAGCAUGACUCAUGAUAAUUCUAUCUUUAACGUUUUUAUGGGGGGGCACAGUUUUCAGCAAUAGUUGCAUACCAUUUUACAUUCCCACCAGCAAUGUAUGAAAGUCAUCUGUUCCUCUUCUUUUUCCUUCUUCUUUCUUCUUCUUCUAUGUAUUUUAGAAAUCAGGGAUCGAACUCAGGACCUUGCGUUGGCAAGGCAGGCAGAGCACCACUGAACGAAAUCCUCCGGCCUCCUGUAGUGUUUAUCUGUCCCUUCUUUCCAGAAAGCCCAUUAAACCACCCAUCCCCAGAGGCCCCAUUCCCUGAAGUAAAGGGUGAGACAGCAGCACCUCUAGUAUGGUAGCAAGACGUCUGCGGGCAAAAUCUGCAGUCUGGCCUCGCCCAUGAAGAGGACAGUGUGAGCAGGGGCAGGGCGCACAGGCUGCCACCUUCGCUGCAUCACGAAGGCACGGGCACCACUGCCAUUCAGGUGCCGUCUUCAACUACCGUCCUAGAGACCUUCAGCACUUCCGUCCUCUCCCGAGCCCCCCUUAAACUCCUAAAGAGCAGAGCUGGAGGCAGCAAGAAGCCGCUGCGGGAGGCGCCGGCGGCUCCGCUCGCUCCGCAGUGGGCAGGACCCGGCGCGCA
ensembl:lincRNA